GACGAACGCUGUCGGCGUGCUUAACACAUGCAAGUCGAACGGAAAGGCCCUGCUUUUGUGGGGUGCUCGAGUGGCGAACGGGUGAGUAACACGUGAGUAACCUGCCCUUGACUUUGGGAUAACUUCAGGAAACUGGGGCUAAUACCGGAUAGGAGCUCCUGCUGCAUGGUGGGGGUUGGAAAGUUUCGGCGGUUGGGGAUGGACUCGCGGCUUAUCAGCUUGUUGGUGGGGUAGUGGCUUACCAAGGCUUUGACGGGUAGCCGGCCUGAGAGGGUGACCGGCCACAUUGGGACUGAGAUACGGCCCAGACUCCUACGGGAGGCAGCAGUGGGGAAUAUUGCACAAUGGGCGGAAGCCUGAUGCAGCAACGCCGCGUGCGGGAUGACGGCCUUCGGGUUGUAAACCGCUUUCGCCUGUGACGAAGCGUGAGUGACGGUAAUGGGUAAAGAAGCACCGGCUAACUACGUGCCAGCAGCCGCGGUGAUACGUAGGGUGCGAGCGUUGUCCGGAUUUAUUGGGCGUAAAGGGCUCGUAGGUGGUUGAUCGCGUCGGAAGUGUAAUCUUGGGGCUUAACCCUGAGCGUGCUUUCGAUACGGGUUGACUUGAGGAAGGUAGGGGAGAAUGGAAUUCCUGGUGGAGCGGUGGAAUGCGCAGAUAUCAGGAGGAACACCAGUGGCGAAGGCGGUUCUCUGGGCCUUUCCUGACGCUGAGGAGCGAAAGCGUGGGGAGCGAACAGGCUUAGAUACCCUGGUAGUCCACGCUGUAAACGGUGGGUACUAGGUGUGGGGUCCAUUCCACGGGUUCCGUGCCGUAGCUAACGCUUUAAGUACCCCGCCUGGGGAGUACGGCCGCAAGGCUAAAACUCAAAGGAAUUGACGGGGCCCCGCACAAGCGGCGGAGCAUGCGGAUUAAUUCGAUGCAACGCGUAGAACCUUACCUGGGUUUGACAUGGAUCGGGAGCGCUCAGAGAUGGGUGUGCCUCUUUUGGGGUCGGUUCACAGGUGGUGCAUGGCUGUCGUCAGCUCGUGUCGUGAGAUGUUGGGUUAAGUCCCGCAACGAGCGCAACCCUUGUUCACUGUUGCCAGCACGUUAUGGUGGGGACUCAGUGGAGACCGCCGGGGUCAACUCGGAGGAAGGUGGGGAUGACGUCAAGUCAUCAUGCCCCUUAUGUCUAGGGCUUCACGCAUGCUACAAUGGCUGGUACAGAGAGUGGCGAGCCUGUGAGGGUGAGCGAAUCUCGGAAAGCCGGUCUCAGUUCGGAUUGGGGUCUGCAACUCGACCUCAUGAAGUCGGAGUCGCUAGUAAUCGCAGAUCAGCAACGCUGCGGUGAAUACGUUCCCGGGGCU
rnacentral:rRNA from 1 species